UAUCUCAUCUUAGAAAUGAGACUCAACAAAUCAUUAGUCUUAAAAAAGAGUUCCUUAACCUCCAGGAUGAAAAUCAGCAGUUGAAAAAAAUAUAUCAUGAACAAGAGCAAGCUCUUCAAGAACUCGGCAACAAGCUUAGCGAAUCAAAACUUAAAAUUGAAGACAUAAAAGAAGCCAACAAAGCAUUGCAGGGACUGGUUUGGCUGAAAGACAAAGAAGCAACACAUUGUAAACUUUGUGAAAAGGAAUUCUCACUCUCUAAGAGAAAGACAUGGCAGCUACUGCAUCUUCAUGUGUCACAAACUCUACAUCUGCUUCUCCUGUGGCUCUGCCAUCAGCUCCAAUAUCAAUAUGAACUCGUAUUGGAUUUAGUGGUGAGAAGAACUAAAUAAAAGGAAACACUUA
rnacentral:lncRNA from 1 species